UGAGCAGGGAAGCAUAUCUGACAUCUUAGAAACUCGUAUCAAAGACGACAUCCCCUUCUUCCUUCCCUUCUCCCUCGAUUUGGUUCGGUCCUCAAUCCUUCUUGAUCGCUGGUUCAUUUGGUACGGAAGUAUCUUUCUAUCAGAUAUUUUCUUUGUCUUUGAUCCUCCACCCCCCCUUUCUUUCACCGGUUUCUUGAUUGCGAAGGGAAGGUUUUGGCUUUCGAACACGUCAUGGCCUCGUCCUCACAAAACGCUAGCAACGACGGCACAACCAAUCAGGUUUUGGUAGAAGACUGCCGGUUUACAAGGAUAUUGACACUUAACAGGCCUCGACAGCUGAAUGCUCUGUCUACUCCAAUGAUUAUGAAGCUACUGAAGCUUUUUGUUGCUUAUGAGAAGGAUUCUGAUGUCAAAUUAUUGAUAGUGAAGGGAAAUGGAAGAGCAUUUUCUGCUGGAGGGGAUGUUGCAGCAGUUGUCCAAUCUGUAACUCAAGGUCAUUGGACUCUGGGUGCAGAAUUCUUCUGGAAUGAAUAUACCUUAAAUUACAUAAUUGCAACUUACAGCAAGCCUCAGGUUUCUAUUCUAGAUGGAAUUGUCAUGGGUGGUGGGGCUGGCAUUUCAAUACAUGGUAGAUUUAGAGUUGUCACAGAGAAAACGGUUUUUGCUAUGCCAGAAACAGCACUGGGAUUCUUCCCAGAUAUAGGCGCUUCAUAUUUUUUAUCAAGGCUUCCAGGAUUCUUUGGGGAAUAUGUUGGCUUGACCGGUGCAAGGUUAGAUGGGGCUGAAAUGCUUGCAUGUGGCCUAGCAACUCACUUUGUCCCUUCUAUGAAUUUGACAUACCUGGAAGAUUUACUCACUAAGGUGGAAACUUCUGAUCCCUUUGUAAUCUGCGCAAUAAUUGAUCAAUUCUCAAAAAUGGUGCCUCUGAAAGUGAGUAGUGCUUAUAAUAGAUUGGAUAUAAUUGACAAGUGCUUCUCCAAAGAAACAGUUGAAGAUAUUAUAUCUGCUCUUGAAAAAGAAUCUGCUAGCAUGGACGAUGAGUGGAUUGUGGUUGCAAUCCAGGAAUUGAAAAAGGCAUCUCCUAUCAGUCUGAAAAUCACUCUUAGAUUGAUCAGAGAAGGGAGACUGCAAGGAGUUGAUCGAUGUCUUAUGAAGGAUUUCAGAUUGUGUUGCCAUAUAUUACGUUUUGAAGCCAGCAAGGAUUUCUCAGAGGGUUGCAGGGCUAUAUUGGUGGAUAAAGAUAGGAAUCCGAAGUGGGAGCCUUCUAGAUUGGAUCUGGUAGAUUCCAAAGUGCUUGAUCAGUAUUUCGCUGAGGUCGACGAUCCAAACUGGGAGGACCUAAAACUCCCAUCAAGAUGCAGCUUAGAUGUCAAAUUUGUGUCAAAGAUUUGAAAGAGAAGAGGAGUUGGCAGUGUUGGAAGGAAGAGAGAGGAGGAACGUAGGGAUGGGAGAAGGGAAAGAUGACGGCUCUUUCAUGCGUGGAGGAGGACGUGCUGCGCUGCUGCGGCAGCAAAAGGUUCGCCAAGGAGAUGGUCUCGGCCUCCCCCUUCACCGAUCUCGACCACGCCCUCCGAUCCGCCUGCGACAUCUGGUUCGACAAGGUCUCCCCGUUGCCGUAUUCCUAGUUCCUCUUCCCGUUCUUCUCUCUAGCCUGUUGUGAUUCCAUCUCCCUCUUGAUUUCUAAUGAAUCUUGCACGUCGACGCCGUCGGAUGACCCGAGGCUUUCGCGGCUCACCCGGCGAUCGGAGCCGCCUCUCCUUCCGUCUCCCAAACGAUUCCGCCUUGCAAGAAUUGGUGGAAUGGAAUUUUCGGCACAGGGAGAAGUUUGGGUUCGUGUUCCUCAUAUGCGCAUCUGGGAGGGGCAUGAUGGAGAUCCUUGCUGAAUUAAAGGUCCCAUUUUUCUGAACAAACUACCGUUUUGCUGAAUCAUGCUUUCCAAUUACUUUUAAGUUUUAACAAAUAACAGUUUUAAUGAUGGUACGAUGGAAGAUACUAUUGCUACUUAAAACUAUCUUUUCAUUGGAAUCUUGUUAGGUCUUACCACUACAUAGAACAACUCAUCAAUGUUGUGUCUACUACCUCUGCCAAGGGGCUCUUUUAUCCUGUGCUGUGUGUUCCUGUGGUUUUUUAUGCGCAUGCAUGGAUGGAUCUUUAUCCUGAAUUUAGCUGCAUCCAAAGACAUCUGAAAAAUUGAAGUUCUUUAUGCUUUGUAGAUUCAUAUUUUGUCUUUUUAAUCCCAAAAGAGAGACAUGUUAGGAUCCUUUUUCUGAGCUUUUGAAUAAUGUUUAUUGAGUCUGUUUAGUCCAAUUGUUUAUUGAGUCGGUUUGGUUCAGUUAGAAUCAAGUAGAGGUUUAUUUAAUAUUUAUUUAUUAUUAGAGUUCAAGUCCUGAUGGGCUUUGGGUGGAGCUCGAUAAAUAGGGAUGUAACUGCUUCUUUUCAGUAAUCUAUGAAAAAUACUAUUUUGUCUUUGGACAAUCCUAGGAGGUCGAUCCCCUCGAAGUGAUCAAGGAGGGUCGAUCCCCUCGAAGCGAUCAAAGAGGUCGAUCCCCUCGAAGUGAUCAUUAUCAUCCUCAUUUCUCCCAUUUCUUCCACGAUAAGACUUUAGGGUCUUAUCAUUUGGUAUCAGAGCCUACGAUAAAACUUUAGGGUCUUAUCAUUUGGUAUCAGAGCGACGAUAAGACCUUUAGGGUCUUAUCAUUUGGUAUCAGAGCCUACGAUAAGAUAUUAAAGCCAUCACACAUACAGUGCAUGCAUUGGCUGGCUACACUAACCCACAAACUAUGAAAAUCGGAGGAACUUUGAAGCAUCAACCUGUCACUAUUUUGAUUGAUACAGAUAACACUAAUAAUUUUAUGGACAGGAAAGUUACAGCCCAAUUAGCCCAUCACAUUGAAGGCUGUGAUAUAUUCAAAGCUGAUGGAUGGAUUUUAACUUAUGAUAGCAAAGGUUAGGAAUUUCUUGCAACGAUUACUACACUGAAAGAUCGACUUAUUGCUUACACUGUCAAAAAGUGGAGACCAUACUUACUUGAUCAACGGGUUGUGAUGCGUUGCAGAUAGUCUAUGGCUAAAGUGCUGAAAGAGAACCUCCCCGAGAUUGAUGCUGCUCAGCCUUGAGGACAAGGCUGAUUUGAAGAGGGAGGAACUGUUAGGACCCUUUUUCUGAGCUUUUGAAUAAUGUUUAUUGAGUCUGUUUAGUCCAGUUGUUUAUUGAGUCGGUUUGGUUCAGUUAGAGUCAAGUAGAGGUUUAUUUAAUAUUUAUUUAUUAUUAGAGUUCAAGUCCUGAUGGACUUUGGGUGGAGCUCUAUAAAUAGGGAUAUAACUGCUUCUUUUCAGUAAUCUAUGAAAAAUACUAUUCUGUCUUUGGACAACCCUAGGAGGCUGAUCCCCUCGAAGUGAUCAAGGAGGGUCGAUCCCCUCGAAGUGAUCAAGGAGGGCCGAUCCCCUCGAAGUGAUCAAGGAGGGCCGAUCCCCUCGAAGCGAUCAAGGAGGCCGAUCCCCUCGAAGUGAUCAUUAUCAUCCUCAUUUCUCCCAUUUCUUCCACGAUAAGACUUUAUGGUCUUAUCAUUUGGUAUCAGAGCCUACGAUAAAACUUUAGGGUCUUAUCAGGACACCCUUAAGCCCUAACUGUAGAAAGAGUAAGAAAAAAUGGGAUCAAUAACAAGAAAGUAGGUUGACGUUGUAUUUCUACAUCUAUUGAUAUAAUGGAAAUCGGAAAGAUGCUGAGUUACAUAUUAAGUGUUAAUUUGAUAUAGUGUUCUUGAAUGUCUUGGCACUCGAUAAAGAUGGUUCAAGGAACUAGAGAAGGAAUAAAGAUGGAUGAUAUGAAACACUCUUGGAACAAAUUUUCAUAGAAGAUUCAAUAACUCUUUGUUGGACAAAUCCAAGCUUUCAUUUUCCUCCUAUGGCAGGCAUUGCCUCAAAACCUAUGCAGAUAACGGUAGAAGUCCAAAUAAUGGAAGCAGGAAACUCUUUGAGGGUCCUAGAUGCUAAAGAAACCUUUUUUGGUUAAAUUAUGUAUAUAUAUUUUAUUAUAAGGAUCUGAUUCUUAUGCUCUUAUCAUAUUCUCUGUACAAAUUAGCUAAAUUUCACUCUUUGCAAAUUUUUUUCCAAAACUUUAUAUGAAAAUGUCCCUCAUGUGGUUGCUUUAGAAGAAAGAAAAGGCAUCUCAAUCUGGUGGAAUCAUUUGUAGGUUGCCUGUGAAGAAGUGGCUUGUCUACUUGAUAUUUGGUGCAUUGGUUCUCAUUCAGUUCAUUUGACAUGAUUAUCUAUUCGUUGUUUUUAUCCGUUAACCAUUGUGGCAUGUACAGUUGUUCAUUCCUCUUAUGCAUCUAGUCCUUCAAAUCCUUGGUAAUUUGGGCUACUUAUAUUGUGAUGUUAUUUUAUUUAAAAUUGUCCCCAUUUUGGAAAUGGGUCACUAUUGAUGUGAAUAACCUUACUAUGACAUGAGCAUGUCAACGCUAAUUAUAUUUGAUUUGUGAAUUUAUUAUCAAUUUAUGUACCAUUGAUCGUGCAUUCUCUUCUUUAACAAUUUCUGAGUGUAUCUAUUGGUAAUCUACUGAUUUUACCUUGCUAUAGAAAUGCUACCUGAAUAGGCCCAUCGUCAAACUUGAAAUAGCAGCACAAGAGGAGAUGAAAAUAAUUGAAUUGUGUCUUACUAGGCUUUUAAAUUCUGAUGUGGAUCAAACAUUCCAGUCACAACUUGUCUUCCUGUUAGUUCUCCAACUAAGUAGUAAUGUCUUCAUUUUCCUGAUGUUUUAAACACGGAGAAUCUUUUUUUUUUUUCCAGUUAUCUUUAUCACACAAUUGAUCAUUUUCUUCUCACUUUUACUUGUAUAACUGAAUGUCUAUUGGAGGUCUUUGAGAAUAAAUAAUUGCCGUUGAAAAUCAAUAGUUUAGAUAUGAGAAAAAAAGCUGUCAAUUGAGGUUGGGCAAGCUCUGUAUUUGUUGUUACAAAAACAAUGUUUGGUCAGAUGAAGACAUGGAAAUUCAUUCUUAAAAUUUAUUACUUUGUUCAUCUGCAAAUGUCUACGGUUGGUCUUGUUCACUAGCAGAGUGAUAGAACCUGCUUAAGGAAACAGAAAACCAAGAUAAUGUGUAGACUGUAGAAAAUUGAGUUUAAAAUAGGCUUUUUACACUAUAUUUUGUGUCUUUUUAAAUUAUCUUCCGUGGGGGUAAUCAUACUACAUUUGAUUAUAUUUAUGGAAAUUGGAUCUUAGAUUCUUCAUAUCGUGGAUUCCAGUGAUUAGAGGUAAGGACAUGUAUUAGUUAUGCCCGAGUUUGGUAAGAUGGAUAGAUCCCUUGCACGCUUUUAUGCCCAUUUGCACAUAUCCUUUAUAUUCUUAUAGAUUAGUGGUUGGGUAGAUGUAAAAUUUACUGAAGAAACUCUCAUGUUGCUUGUAACCAUUAGGAGUAAUCUAAGCCAGAGGAAAGAAGGAUGAUUGCUUAGUCUGGAUGAAUAUCUUUCUCAGUGUGGUUUCUCUUUUGGGAACUUGCUAAUUGCAUCCAGAGGAUGGUUAAGUGGUCUGUAUGAGUUAUUUUCUUUGGUAUGCUGUUUCUCAAGAUCUCUAGAUUCAUCAUAAACCAUUGCUCUGUAAGUGGUAGUCCCUGCUGCAUGUGGUCCAAAGUUUAUUCGCUGGAAUGAACAUAUUCGAUCUUAUCUUAUGUGCUUGCAGUUUAUUUUCUCCUGUCCUGAGGUAAUUCCAGGAGCAUUGUUUCAUCAUUAAGGAUUUUGUGGCAACUUGAUUUGGUUGUAUAGUCAUUUUCUUCGUCGAUGUGACACUUGGUUUUGUUGAUAUAGUCAUUUUCUAUGUUAAUGUCUUACACUAGUCAUUCUCAUUUGAAUAUUGAAUAAUUUCUUUCACGAGAUGAAUAGCCUUUGAUACUUGAAGUUUCUACAUGCAACCUCUAGUGCUGCCUUCCAUGUUUAAUUGAUGUGGUCUGCCUAGUUUGUCUUUUUCACUCAUGUUAGAUAGGUAUAUCAUAUAAGUUUAGUUUACUGUUUACCUUGAGCUAUUUCAAUUUAGUCAAUCAUGGAAUAUCGAGUUGAUUCCAAUAGGUCUGUGAAACAUCGUUUUCAAAAACAUGUGUGCCACUUUUUCUUUAUGAUGACAAUGUUUAACUGGAGACUCUGGUGAAGGUGCAUAACUAGUGUGUUUACUUUGCUGCAGUCACUUUCUGUAAACUCCGGCAAGUCAAAUUAAUCUAGCUAGUAUAACUUCAAAGAUUCCAGUUCUGUUAACUUUGCAUUUAACUUAUGCUUCAUCCUGACAUCUCAUGUUUUGAAUCUUAAAAGAUCGUUUAGGAAUCACUGGAGCACAUAUUAUGGCUAUUCCUUAGGUACCUUCUGGUAAAACCACUGAAAUUUCAGAUAAUAGUCAUCACACAUGUCCUCCCAGCACAAUCCAUGUCCUGGAUGUUGCCCGUGGCUCUCCAGCUUCCGGCACGGAGGUUCACCUUGAGAUGUGGAAAGGAACUCAUCAGCACCCAUCAUUUACAAACAGAGAAUCCACCCACCUGAUGUUGAUAGGCUCUUUGAUAACAAAUGCUGAUGGCUGCAGUGGCCCUCUCUGAUGGGCAUCGUCGACCAUAUUACUCCUGGCUUUUAGCAGAUAAGUUUCAACACCGGUAAAUAUGGCUUCUUUGCUUGUGUCAGCUUGGUGUUUCAGGUCAGAGAAAACCAGAUAGCAGAACACUUUCAUGUUUCCUCUGCUGCAUUCGUCCUUUUCGUUCACGACACACAGGGGGAGCUAGAUAUGGUACUCUUCGUUGCUUAACAGAUUCUUUUCUAGCUUUGGCAGGAUCCAGUGUGGGCCCCUCUCACUCUCAUGGUGGUGUGCAAUUCUGUUACGUCAUUACUUUUGACUAUUUUGACAAAUGUAAUUCUUAACUGUGAAAGUGUUUAUCAGCUAAGUUAGUUGAUGUUUUUCCUACGUCAAAAUUUUAUUUUACACUCGUAAUAAAAUAUAUAAUUUCUUUUUCUAAAAUUUUUUUUGCAGCACUAUAAGUCCAGUGAGUUAUAGUAUCAUAUUUACCCAUCAAACUCAAAAUUAUCAUAAAUCUGGCAAAAAUAUGUUUAUUUUUAAUGGUUUAUGAAUUUUGAAAAUAUUUGCUAUUUGUCGGGCCGUCAAUG